UGAGGAAUAUUGGUCAAUGGGCGAGAGCCUGAACCAGCCAAGUAGCGUGCAGGAUGACGGCCCUCCGGGUUGUAAACUGCUUUUAGUUGGGAAUAAAAAAAGGGACUUGUCCCUUCUUGUAUGUACCUUCAGAAAAAGGACCGGCUAAUUCCGUGCCAGCAGCCGCGGUAAUACGGAAGGUCCAGGCGUUAUCCGGAUUUAUUGGGUUUAAAGGGAGCGUAGGCGGAUUGUUAAGUCAGCGGUUAAAGGGUGUGGCUCAACCAUGCAUUGCCGUUGAAACUGGCGAUCUUGAGUGCAGACAGGGAUGCCGGAAUUCGUGGUGUAGCGGUGAAAUGCUUAGAUAUCACGAAGAACUCCGAUCGCGAAGGCAGGUGUCCGGGCUGCAACUGACGCUGAGGCUCGAAAGUGUGGGUAUCAAACAGGAUUAGAUACCCUGGUAGUCCACACAGUAAACGAUGUAUACUCGCGGUUUGCGAUAGAUUGUAAGCCGCCAAGCUAAAGCAUUAAGUAUACCACCUGGGGAGUACGCCGGCAACGGU
rnacentral:rRNA from 1 species